AGUGAACGCUGGCGGUAGGCCUAACACAUGCAAGUCGAACGGCAGCACAGUAAGAGCUUGCUCUUACGGGUGGCGAGUGGCGGACGGGUGAGGAAUACAUCGGAAUCUACUUUUUCGUGGGGGAUAACGUAGGGAAACUUACGCUAAUACCGCAUACGACCUACGGGUGAAAGCAGGGGAUCUUCGGACCUUGCGCGAUUGAAUGAGCCGAUGUCGGAUUAGCUAGUUGGCGGGGUAAAGGCCCACCAAGGCGACGCUCCGUAGCUGGUCUGAGAGGAUGAUCGGCCACACUGGAACUGAGACACGGUCCAGACUCCUACGGGAGGCAGCAGUGGGGAAUAGUGGACAGUGGGCGCAAGCCUGAUCCAGCCGUACCGCGUGGGUGAAGAAGGCCUUCGGGUUGUAAAGCCCUUUUGUUGGGAAAGAAAAGCAGCAGGUUAAUACCCCGCUGUUCUGACGGUACCCAAAGAAUAAGCACCGGCUAACUUCGUG
rnacentral:rRNA from 1 species